CAAAAAUAAAUUCCUUGACUGAAUAAAGUCAUCGACUUGUAUGAGACAGCCGAUUAGAUAUUCAAACAUGUCAUUAAGCGUACCCAUACAGGCUCUUCAUUUAGUGAUGAAGUUAGAUAUGAAUGUGAGCUUGAUUACUUUGUCUUCUGCUGCAGCGUGCUUUGUGAAGAUGAAAAACAAGCCGUUACUGUGAAAAGUCAGUUGCAGCAACUAGCUAGACCAAUGUACAGCAACCCACCUUUACAUGGAGCUCAAAUAGUCUCAACCAUUCUUGGAGACCCAGAGUUAAAGAGUCUGUGGCUAAAGGAAGUUAAGGUAACCAUAUAGUUAUCGCCUUACCUAUAGCUUCCUUCUGCUUGCAAUUAAUAUAUUCCAUGUUUCAUGUGUACGGAGACUCUUGUCGUAUGAAACACAUUGUAACCCAUUGUUCACUCUUUUGUGUUUGAUAAUCCAACUAUACAAUUAGAAAUCUGAUAAUCUGUGUGUAAAAUCUAUAACGGCACAGAUCAUGGCUGAUCGGAUUAUUGGCAUGAGAACUACUUUGAGAGAAAGCCUUGAGAAGUUAGGAUCGCCUCUAUCAUGGGAGCACGUAACCAAGCAGGUAAAUUACAAAAAAAAAUUAGUUCUCUCAUAUGAUUUACACAAUUACAUAAUCAUAUAUCUAUAUAUGGGGAAACAGAUUGGAAUGUUCUGCUACAGUGGGCUAACACCAAAACAGGUUGACCGCUUAACAAGCGAAUAUCAUAUCUACAUGACCCGAAAUGGCCGUAUCAGGUACUAACUUGGUCCAUUUUCUUGAUUUUGAUGCAUUUCAAAAGUUAACAAAUAUCAUUGAGGCUUUUGAUGUUUGGUUGCAGUAUGGCUGGUGUUACGACAGGGAAUGUGGGAUACCUUGCGAAUGCUAUACAUGAAGUCACCAAGUCAUCUUAAACUAUUUAUAUGCAAAUAAGACAGGAGGGCUAAUUUGUUCUUCUGUAAUUGUUUUCAUGGGAACUGAAAGUUUAUCCAUAAACAGUAACUUAUCAGUGCAUUUUUUCUUAUCUGCGCAAUAAAAAAAAGCAGCAUUUGGACACAAAUUCGUUAUUGCAAUCUGUUCUGGUUGAUAUUCAGGCUGGAACGAUCGAUUCUUGGAUAUUUAUUCACGAAAAAUAUAGAUUGUUUUCGUCUCCAUUUGCUUUUUUUAGUGAAGAUGAAUUGUAAAUUUUUUGUUGCAUCAUGUAUUUGUGCGUAAUGUGUCUAAACUUUAGAAUUGUUCAAAAAUACAAGGUGGACCCACAUGCAAAUAGAGCGCGUAAGCCUUACGCUCCAAUGAGAACGUGAUUCCAAUGAGAACGUUAAUCACGUAAUUAGUACUCAUUACUUGAUAUUAGCAGUGAAGUGAAUACUUGAAAAGUGUUGAUAACCUCGCAAUCCAUUAACAAUAACUGAUACAACUAAUUUUGGAGAUUAGUAUUGUUACCGGAUCAGAUAUACAAAUUGAUUAAAAUACAGUGUAUAGUGAUAACACGUUUUCUAAUUUGGGUAACAACUGAUAGCAUUUGCAGAUUUUUGCAGAGAAAAAAAGUUAAAUCCAUUUCUGAAUUGGAAAAAAUGUUAACAAUAUAAAAAAAAAAAUUAUAAAAACAGCAUAACUGUAUGUAAUUUUUCAUUUGUAGAUGAUUCUUUACCAAUAUUGUUGUCUAUGUUUGGUGUUGAAGAGAUUUUCCAAUAAUCUUUUACAAAAAGAUAAACUUAAUUUACAAAAGAAAAAUUAGAAAAAAAAAUCUAUAUACACAUUGUUCACUCCAUCUAAAACUAUGGAAACUGAUGAAAAAUUCAAAAUCUCAAGAUUCUUUCUAGUAAUGAUGAAACUUAUUACAAAUAUGAAAGAGUACAAGUACAUGUAAUCUUAGUUUUUCAUUCCGAAACCAGACUUUCCCAUAUAGAGAUAAAGAAAGAUAACUUCUACGAGAUUUUGUGUAAUCUAUUCUAAGUACUCCUAUUAAGUUUAGACUUUACAUACUUGCAUAAAUAUCCUAUCUUUGUUAAUCAAUAAUACACAUACACUUUUCCAAUUCAUUACAUGGUAUCAGAAAUCUUUAAGAUCUCUGACCUAAUUUCUUGCGAUUAAUAUCGGGCCAGCAAUCUUAAAUUUUACAUAAUCCAUUAUAGACAUAAACCAAGUAUGAGAACAGUGUUAGGUCUAAGGUUUAUGUCUAUGAUGGUGUCUAUAAGAUUUCAAAUUGCAUGGCCUGAUGUGGGGAAGUCUGGUUUUGGAGUGUAUAAGUUUAAGCUAGUUAGAAUCAAUGGCAACCCGAGAUGGGUAGUGCAAGAAUGAGGUUUGCGAAAACACUUAAAAAGUAUGCCGUCGAUGGUUAGGCCUGCUGUCAAAGCUUAUAUACCCAGCAGGCCUAACCAUCAAAAUCUAUAUACAAUGACAUAGAUGAUAUCAGGAACCCUUAUGCUAUGAGUACUCCUCUAAAUCUGUCUUCCCAUUUAUGAUUUACGCUAACAGAGCUGGCUGCGAUUGUAGUUUCUCCUGCACUGACAACUGUCUUUGUUCCAGGAAAAACGGUGGUGCCACGAUAUUUAUUCACCAAAAAUAUAAAUUAUUUUCGUCUCCAUUUGUUAUUUUUUAUUGAAGAUGAAGUUAAUCGUAAAUGUAAUUCUGAAGUUCUUUUUCAUUUGUUCUGUUUUAAGUUGUUUAAAGAAAGCUAAUUCUAUAUAUAAUGUUGAUUAAAAAUAAAAUAUGAGAAAUACAUAGCAAAUAAACACAUUUUUCAUAGACCACUGCACCAUCUUAACCAACUCAUAUUUUAUACAAAAUGGCUGUUUGGAAGACGAGCAUUGGGCUCACGGAGUUCAUUGAAAAAUGGAUGAGCACAUGCUUCGAGCUUUUAUACAAGGAAAUAUAACACAUGUCAGUUAAAAAGCUUCAGCAUCAUUGAACAGUGCAGGUCCAAACAGAGAGAACCACUCUAAGAAUUAAGAACCACUCUAAGAAUUAAGAAAACAGAAAGCUGCAACGUAGACUCGGUGAAUAUUGAAGAAGCCGAGAUGCGAGGUCAAUGGCUUCUGGAGGCAUCCACUUAUGGAAAACCUGGAGGUCAUAAAGUAGUAUGUGUAUUGUUUCAGCUUUUUUUUUUUUUUUUUCUACUAAGCUAUUGUAUAAUCAGAAAAGUUAGAACGUAACAUCCAUAUAAAAUACCUUAUGCCACAGGUGAGCUUGUGGGAAUCUAAAGUCUGUGUAGUUUGGAUUCAUGCAUUGGAUUUCUUCUCGAGUUGGAGUACCAAGAACCUAAACAGAAAGUAAUGUUAAUCAAAAUGACAAAUCAAUUAGAUAUAGGAUUUUUCUAUAAAAUCUAAUCAAAAUGAGACUUCACCUUGAUGAUCUCCACUAGCUGGUCCACAGAAUUUUCUCCGGGGAAUAACGGCUGAAGAUAAGUAAUAUCAAUUGAUUAUCAAAGAUAUUGGAGAAAUGCUUUAGUUCUCAAGAUACUUAAUGGAUAAAUAGUUUACAGUUACACUAACCUGACCAAGAAAGAGCUCUGCCAAAACACAACCAGCAGACCAUAUAUCUAUGGAUGAUGUAUACUAUGUGGCCCCAAAGAUGAGUUCUGGAGCUCGGUAAUACCGAAAACAAAUAUAUGAUAUGUUUGGUUCACCUUUUACCUAAAGUUAAUAGUCACAUGUUGCAAGGAUCAUGAAAACAAAUAAGGUGCAAUUGAUUUUCAUGAGACAGAACACAUAAUCAGUGGAAAAAUAAAUGAAACAGCAUAUAUAAGGUAAAACCUUACCAAUAAUUUUGCACUUCCAAAAUCACACAGAUUACACUGUUGAGUGAGGGGAUCAACCUAUAGAAUGCACCAGGGAAUUGGAUUAUAAUCUAGUGAUGGUUACCGAAGACAAACCCAUAAUAGAUCAACUUAUCAAAAGGUUCUGUGGUUUCACAUCUCUGUGGCAGACACCAGGAGCAGUAUGGAUAUAGGCCAAGCCUCUGAAGAUCUGCACAACAUAUUUGCUAACCCGUUUCAGGAUCAAUAAGAAAAACCAAGAAUAUUUGUGGCAGAUAACAAUGCAUACCUGGUAUGUAUAAAGUUUGACAUUAAAAAAAGGCAUCCUCUGGUUUGAAAUAGUAUAGUGCUUCAAAACCUGGUACAAAGUCUCGGGUACAUACUCCAUAACAAGGUUGAGGAAGAGCUCAUCUCUACUCGUUGUAGAGAAGAAACAAUGCUUCAAAUAAACCACAUUAGGGUGGUCCAUUAGUCGCAUUAAUUGCAAUUCACGAUUUUUGUAGCGCCGAUCUUGCAAAACCUUUUUAAUGGCUACUGACUCUCUAGUUUCCAAGCACUUCGCCUAGAAUGGUAAGUUCAUAAAUUAAUCAGAAAUGGAAGAAAAAAGAUAUUGCCUAGAACAGCUAGCAGUGACAAGCAGAAAAGUUACCUGGAAUACAAUUCCAAAUUAAAAGAUCCUGUUCAUUCAUCGGAUUUCUUCUCGAGUUGGAUUACCAAGAACCUGUUCCUCAAUCCCUUUUGUAAUGAGCUGUCAAGUCCAGCUGUCUUAGCUCUAGAAUCAUCUAUUGUCUGUAUAAAUAUGAAGUGAUGUAGAAACCUUAAUCUUUAAACUUAUACACUCCGAAACUAGACUUCCCCACAUCAGACUAGCAAUCUGAAAUCUUAUAUAAACCAUCAUAAACAUAAACUUUAGAGCUAACACUGUUCUCUAAUCACCCUUACCUCAAUAUCAUGGUACAUACUCCUCUGCCUUGCUAGAUUCCCACUUGCUAACUUUUGAUGUUGAUCUACCUGUGGAGCUUAUCCUGACCAUUGUGACCUGUAUAAAUCAGAACAUAUAUACCCUGUAUCUUCAUCAUCCUCAAGCUAAAGCAUCCAGGAGAGCUAUCUCGGUAAGAUAUAAAGAAAAAUACAGAAACAAGCUACAGAAACUACUCAGUUACAGAUGGCGAGCUUGUAUUCUAAACCCUUUUAUCUGCUACUAUUAAACCCAGAAGCAGCAGCAUGUUUGCAGCCAAGUGAGAAUUUUUGAUUAUACCCACAUCUCUGCAUCCCGUUAAAGUUGAGGUUCCAUGCAUUUUCAUUGCUGGAUGCUUGUGAAUGCAUACCAAGAUUUGGAUGUUUUGUUGUGGGUAUAAUCAAGAAGUUUCACUUGGCUGCAAACAUGCUGCUGCUUUUGAGGUUAAUAGUAGCAGAUUAAAGGGUUUAUAAGACAUUGUUAGAAAAGCAUUUUUUUGCUAAGUAGUGAGCAUGUUCAUUGUGAGCUGAGAUUACAUGUAUUUGUACUCUUUCUUAUUUGUAAUAAGUUUCAUUAUUACUAAAAAUGAUCCUGGUUUUGAUGAAUUCUUCAUCAGUUUCCAUAGUUUUAACUCAAAUGAACAUAUAUAUAUAUUUUUUUUUUUUCUAAUUUUUCUUUCGUAAAUUAAAUUUAUUUUUUGUAAUAGAUUAUUGGAAAAUUUCUUCAACACCAGACAUAGACAAUAGUAUGAGUAUUAUUUUUCUCACCACGCAACAUUGUCCAUUCAAAGAACUACCUACAAAUAAGGCUGUUUAUUUUUCACACAUCUAAAAGUAUAUAUAAAUCCUUACCCAAAACGGAAUCCAAAAUCUCAAACUUAACCAAAAUAUACACAAGAGAAUAUGGUGCGAAGCAUAUUGAGCGACGUUCAAACAAGUGGCUUUGGUUUAUUUUGGGGGAUAUUGGUGGUUGCAGCCACCCUCUCCGUAAUAGCCAUGGCCGUAUUUGUUUGCGCCGGUGAAAAAAAUUCUAAAAAAAUGAGACGAAAGAUAGACCAUAUGCUGGAGCUAGACGCCUAGACCAUAUGCUGGACCAUAAGCGUCUGGCGGUCUGGAGGAGGAGGAGGUUGUGGCGGUCGUGGUAGAGGAGGAGGUUGCUAGAUGUCUCUUUGGUACCUUUUCAGAACGUAUUGGUAUUUAUGACCGACUUGCUUAGAAUAUCUAGGCAUACCCUAGCACAGUUUGUGCAUAAUCAAUUUAUUAUUAUGGUAAAAAGUAUGACCAGUGACAAAUAUCUAUUUGCUUUAGUAUUGCGUAUCAGCAUCAUUUUAUUAUGCCACUUUAAUAGUUCUAUCGUUUGUAUUUUGUGACAAAUAUCUAUUUGCUUUAGUAUCACAUAUCAGAUUCUUGCAUCAUCUUAUUUUGCCACUUUAAUAGUUCUAUCGUUUGUAUUUCACUAUAUAUCAUAUUAUAAUUUCUUUAUGACGUCAACAUGUUAUAAUAUAAUGGAAAAGUUAACUGAAAAUGAGAAUAUAACCGAAAUGUAAUAGUAUAGAAUCGAAACCAGUAAUCGAGGAGUUGUCAUCCAUUUUUUUUGUUGUUGUUCAUUUAGGAGAGUUAUCAUCAUUUUAACAUAAAGCCACAUAUUUUUUGUUUUUUCGAGCUCAACCAUAUUUCAUAUAAAUUCGUUUCUCCUUCUCAACCAAAGAGUAUUUCAUAUGAAGAGGUUUUACUGGCUGUAAGAUCAACACAUUGGUUGGCUUGUCUUCCUUGGAAAGUGAUGGUUAGUCGAAUUAAUCUUUUUCUUGUCUUGUUGAUUUCUCUGGUAUAGACUAUAAACCUUGACCAUUCUCGAGGUUCAGCUAACGCUUUCACCAAUAUCUUUGAAUUCACUCUCGAGAAUUACCUCUUCAUAGCCAAGAUUAUCCAAACAUGUCAUGAUCCAAAGAAGAGUUGUAGCUUCUGCCUCCAUAAUGUUACAACAAAAUUUUCGAGAAAUUUUGAGCUCAGCCUAGAAAUUAAAAUGAAUGACAAAAAAAAAGAUAUCCUGAACUUUUUCAAUAAAAAAUAUGAAAUGUAGAAUGAAAAUUUGGAAGAAACUCAUAUCGGUUUUUGUAAAACAAAUAAAACAUUUGGUUGAUACCACACAAUAUAGAUCAAAUGUAAAAGCAAAAAUAAUUAAAAAGAUGUUAGUUUGAUCACACACGAUCAAAUUACGCUUGAGUUUUUGUGUGGUUCAAACAUGUCUUGUAGCGUGAUAGAUAUUUCAUUUCUUCUUCCUUUUUUCUUAGGGCAAUUUUCAUUUCUUUUGUUUGUAACUUACCAAAUAUGUAUUUAUCUAUCACAAUAAAUGGGUCUGCAGGUUUAGAAAAUGGAAUCUACCUUAAUUCUUCACUGAAUAUGAUUGGUUUAAUUUAGCAACCAAAAAAAUUCCAAGAAAAUACUCAAAUAUAGUAAGACUUUGGCAUGUGAGCAUGCAAGUACAGACAAUGAAACUCCUAUGAUAAGAGAUGUAGAAAGAACAUUUAUCUUGCCUUGCAGAUAUCGGAGAGAGAAGGAAAGACAGAACAGCGAACAAGCAGAGAAAGGUUUAUGUUUUGUCAAAAUAUUGUCCAUCUGCAUCAUUGUUAAUGCCAUAGGAGCAAAACAGAGAAAGAGAAAAUACAAAAUGAUUGCGUUUAUGGAAAACUCUAAAACGGUAAGACUUUGGCAUGUGAACUAGCAAAUGGUACAGACAAUGAGACUCCUAUGAUAAGAGAUGGGGAGUAGCAAGAAAAUUGAUUUGAGAUAUUACCCCAAGCUAAAGCAAGAAAGAAAUGCCAUAGGAGCAAAACAGGGAGAGAGAAUACCGACAAUAAUGAGACUCCUAUGAUAAGACAUGCAGAAAGAACAUUGAUUUGAAAAAAUGUCUCCAACUAAAGACAUAAAAGAAAAAUACAGAAAAAAGCUACGGAAACUACUCAGUUACAGAUGGCAAGCUUCCUGUUCAGUUCAUCGGCUGACCAUAGUCCAGGCUUAGCUCCGAUAAUGAAAGGAACAUCAAGUUUUUUUUUCUUUUCUUUGAUGUUCCCUUGUUAUCGGAGCUAAGCCUGGACUAUGGGUUGGCCGAUGAACUGAACGGGAAGCUCACAUUUGGUUCUUUGCCAUCACAUUUGGUUAUUUUCUGGGACUAAUGUAACAAGCCACAUACGUCUUCAUCAUCCUCAAAUUACCUGAGACGACAAUUCUGGUGGCUAUCAGUUCACCUUCGGAGCUACGUUGUAUCUGGCUGUGUAAGCCCACUGAGAGCACAGUUCAUGACGGUAAAAGAACACGUCGCUGAUCUCAACCCCAGGGUAAAUACUUAGUGGGUUCAAUUCCUGGUGUUGAGAUCGGCGACGUCUUCUUUUACCGUCAGUGCUCGGUGGGGAGAUGAACCGAUAGCCACCAGCAUUAUCGUCUCAGGUAAUUACGAGGAUGAUGAAGACACAUGGAGAUACCAUGAUAUUGAGUUACAUGUGAUUAGAGGGUUUAAGAAUGAGAACAGUGUUAGCUCUAAGGUUUAUGUCUAUGAUGUUUUAUAUUUCAGAUUGCUGGCUUGAUGUGUGGAAGUAUGGUUUUGGAGUGGGAAACUGGGAUUACAUGUAAUUGUACAAGAAGCAUAUAUACUAACCAGAAAGUGAAGAAUAUACAAAGUUUACAAUGAAGUAGAGGGGUUAACCAGAUAGGGGAAAAAAUCCAACUAUAAUAGAAAACAUUGUUGGAAAAAGUUUUUUUUUGCUAAGUAGUGAGCAGGUUCAUUGUAAGCUGGGAUUACAUGUACUUGUAUCUUUCUUAUUUGUAAUAAGUUUCAUCAUUACUAGAAAGAAUCCUGAUUUUGUUGAAUUUUUCAUUAGUUUCCAUAGUUUUAGGUCUAGUGAACAAUGUAUAUAUAGAUUUUUUUCCUAAUUUUUCUUCCAUAAAAGUAAAUUUAUCUUUUGUAAUAGAAUCUCCUCAACACCAAACAUAGACAAAAAUAUGAGUAUUAUUUUUUCCACCACUCAAGAAUGUUUACAAGUAGAAAUACAUAUAUGCUGUUUUUUUUUAUAAUUUUUUCUUUCUUUUUGAGAUUUUUUUAAUCUUUUUCCCAAUUGAGAAAUUGAUUUAACUUAUUUUUUUUUUGAAAAAUCUGCAAAUGUUAUCAGUUGUUACCCAAAUUAGAAAACGUGUUCUCCCCAAUACCCCCCCCCCCCAAGAAUUUAUAGGUUAUUUUCUUCAUUUAGAAUAGUAGAUGUAAACAGUAUGGUGGACGAUGUAGUUUUUAUUUCAUUUGUUCUGUUUUAAAUUGUUUAAGAAAAGCUAAUUCUAUAAUAUAAUAUUGAUUAAAAAUAAAAUAUACCAGAUACAAUAACAAAUAAACACAUUUUUCAUAGACCACUGCACCAUCUUAACCAACUCAUAUUUAUACAAAAUGGCCCCUAAAAUAAUUGAAAUUCUACAGCGCCAAGCAAAUGCUUGAUGGGUUUUUCUACCAAGAACAAAGCAUCUUAGUUUCGAAGUUGUUUCUACAGAGCAGCUUGAACUCAAAAGCCUCCACUCAUCUGUCGCCUAACGUGCUCUGGUACUAGCUUGUUUAUAAGCUCUUGGGAAACUCCAGAUAACUCUUUGAACAUUUAAACAGAGAGAAAGAGAUACAAGAUUAAGAAACUGUUUGAACUUAACAUCAGUUAUGGUUUGGUUUAAGAAUGUUUGGUUUAAGGAAAGUGGACAAACAUACCUCUUGUUUGAAGUUGAACAACGGUGGUACCAAGAACCUAAACCAACACAGCACAUAUAUUAUGACAAAUGAUAGGAAUUUUCUAUAUCAGACAGAAAAUGACGACAAGGUAAAAUCUAUAAAAAUGAGAUUUCACCUUGAUGAUCUCCACUAGCUGGUCAACAGAAUUUUCUCCAAGGAAUAACGGCUGAAGAUAAAUAAAUAUCAACAAUGAUUGUCAAAGAUAUUGGAGAGAUGCUUUGGUUUUCAAGAUACUUAAUAGAUAAACAGUUUACACUAACCUGACCAAGAAGAAGCUCUGCCAAAACACGACCAGCAGACCAUAUAUCUAUGGAGGAUGUAUACCCUGUGGCCCCAAAAAUGAGUUUUGGAGCUCGGUAAUACCGAGAGCAGAUAUAAGAUAUGUUUGGUUCACCUUUCACCUAAAGUAAAUAGUCACAUGGUGCAAAGAUCAUGAAAACAAAUAAGGUGUAAUUGAUUUCAUGAGACAGAACACAUAAACAGUGGAAAAAUAAAUAAAACAUCAUAAAUAAGGUUAUGGGAUCAACCUAUAGAACGCACCAGAGAAUUGGAUAACAAUCUAGUUAUGGUUACCAAAGACAAAUCCACAAUAGAUAAAUUACCAAAAGGUUUUGUGGUUUCACAUCUCUGUGGCAAACACCAGGAGCAGUAUUGAUAUAAGCCAAGCCUCUAAAGAUCUGGUGGCUGAUGCAUGUUGAAAGAAACUGGCCUGUGUUGACCCUGUGGCGGUGGCAUCAUGGAAGACGGCCAAACUGGAUGAGGAACUACUGUUUCUCUGUAUUGAUGCGGAAUACUCUGGCCAUCUUCCACAUCAAUCCCUUCCAUUCUAUUUAUUUCACAGGUACUGAUCCCUUGAUAUUUCAAAAAGAAUUUCCUUUUUUAGUUUUCAGUCUAUGAUCUAAACAAGUCGCACAUACACCCGAGUACAUGUUCCUCGUCGCUGAAGGAAGUUCAAGGAAACCAUCUCCGUUAAAAUUAAUAGGAUUAGGGGCGCAUCAACUAAGUAAAUAUACACAGGAAAUUACUGGUUGGAUAAGAGGGNNNNNNNNNNNNNNNNNNNNNNNNNNNNNNNNNNNNNNNNNNNNNNNNNNNNNNNNNNNNNNNNNNNNNNNNNNNNNNNNNNNNNNNNNNNNNNNNNNNNCACCAAAUCAUCACAAGCAUCCAGCAAUGAAAAUGCAUGGAACCUGAACUUUAACGGGAUGCAGAGAUGUGGGUUUAAUCCAGAAUUCUCAUUUGGCUGCAAAACAUGCUGCUGCUUCUGGGGUUAUUAGUAACAGAUCAAAGGAUUUAGAAGACAUUGUUGGAAAAAGCAUUUUUUGCUAAGUAGUUAGCAGGUUCAGUGUAAGCUGAGAUUACAUGUACUUGUACUCUUUCUUAUUUGUAAUAAGUUUUAUCAUUACUAGAAAGAAUCCUGGUUUUGUUGAAUUCUUCAUCAGUUUCCAUAAUUUUUAGUCAAAUGAACAUAUAUAUAGAUUUUUUUUCCUAAUUUUUCUUUCGCAAAUUGAAUUUAUUUUUUGUAAUAGAUUAUUGGAAAAUCUCUUCAACACCAUACAUAGACAAUAGUAUGAGUAUUAUUUUUCUCACCACGCAAGAUCGGUAAAGAAUUGUCUACGCGUUAGAAAUACAUACAGUUCUGCUAUUUUAUAUAACUAUUAGAUGAUCACCUACAUGUACACGCGGGUUUCUUUUUCUAAUAUAUAUUUUUAAAAUUUUAUAAGUAAAUGUUUUCUAUCAUUUCCUAUACGUACAAAAUUUUGGUAAAACGAUUGUGUCAUUUUAAAUAUUAAAUUACUCUUAACAAAUAUUAAUAUCACAUGUAUUUCAAUGAUCACUUAUCUAUAUUCUUUUGUGUAUUUUUUUUUUGUAAAUUAUUGUUAGUCACUAUAGACAUAUAUCUAGUACUGUAUAUUAAAAUAUCAGUUCAUAGUCCAAUAUAUAUUUUUAAAAUAUAUUUAUCUGCUAAAUGAUGGUUUAUGCAUAUUUUCUAUUGAUUUUAUUCUACAUUUAUUUUAUGCGCUUAUCUCUUAAUCCAAUAUUUUUUAUAUCACUAGGCUAGAAGGCUUUUGGUGGGUAUAAACAGAAAUGAACCAUUUUUGGCGCUUUUUUACCCAUUGAGCUGAAAUUGUUAGGAGUUAAGCGUAGAGCUGUUUGCUUUUGGUUGAUGAAGCUAUCUGUAUUACUUAUGCCUUGAACUGGAAAUCAAUUUUAGGGAGCAUAUCAUGAUGAUAAUGGCAAGCCUGUUGUCUUGGAAUGUGUCAGAGAAGCUGAGCGAAGGAUUGCUGGGAGCUCUUUCAUGUAAGAUUGCUUGGUUUCUUUUUACUCCUCAAAUGAGCUAGUUUUUAUGUUUAUGCUAAUUGGUGAAGUUCCUGUGAAGAAAGGAUUAUUUUGCUGCUAUCUUCUUUUCUUCUUCUUGGAAUCAAAGUAAAACUGAUCUGAACUAUAUGUAUUGUACUAAAAGGAGUACCUUCCUAUGGGAGGGAGUGUCAAAAUGGUGGAGGAAACAUUGAAGCUUGCCUAUGGAGACGACUCUUAAUUUAUCAAAGACAAAAGAAUAGCUGCAGUUCAAGCUCUGUCUGGAACUGGAGCAUGCCGACUGUUUGCAGACUUCCAGAAACGUUUUUGUCCCGGUUCACAGAUCUACAUUCCUGUACCAACCUGGUCUAAGUGAGUUUCAUGCAGUUAACUUUGAUCAUUUCCAAUGUUAAUUCAAAACCGUGUACUCUGUAAGUGUGGCCAAGCUUCUUUUGCUUCCACAUAAUAGCAGUAGCUUAUGUUGUCUUUUGUGAACAGCCACCACAACAUCUGGAGAGAUGCAGAUGUCCCUCAGAAGAUGUUGGUGGUACGCUCCGCUACCCGGUUCGGACCGGUUAAAGACCAAGACCGGCCCAAUUGAUCCCGGUUUACGAUAGUCUUAACUGAAAUGGGCCUGGCCUGACAGCACGUCCCAUAAGAGAAAAGCCCGGCGACAAGAGGCGGUGAGAGCUGAACGAGAAGCCCUAGAACGCCUCCUCGUUUAUGUACUAUAAAUAGUAGAAUUGUUACUGUAGAAGGGAUCUUUUUGGGACCCGGAGAAUAGAGACCUGAACAUUAUUGUAUCGAGUUCGUCGAGAGUCCUCCGAACUGAACGAACUGUAACUGAGAACUUAAUUAAAUACAAUCAAUUUAAUCUUCCGAACUCGAAUUACCGAACCGACCCCAAAUAGUUGAGAAUAGCAAUCAACAGAAGACAUAUCAUUACUAUCAUCCCGAAACCAAGGGCUUGAAUUUCUCAGGAUUAAUGGACGAUGUGAAGGUUAGCAAGAACAACUUCUUCGGCAAGCAUAUUUACAUCUUACUCUUGUUAAUAGCAUCCUAAUUUUCUCAUAGAAUGCUCCGGAAGGCUCGUUCUUCCUCCUUCAUGCUUGUGCUCAUAAUCCUACUGGAGUAGACCCUACAGAUGAACAAUGGAGAGAGAUAUCACAGCUCUUCAAGGUGAUUAGUCGUCGAUACUUUAUUAGUUAUCUGUCUAUCAUUCACUUUUUGUCUCCCUGAUCUGUCCACCGCAGACUAACAGCGAGUUCUCAUUGCAGGCCAAAAAACAUUUUGCAUUCUUUGAAAUGGCCUAUCAAGGUUUUGCUAGUGGGGAUCCAUCCAGCAAAAGAUGCCAAGUCCAUUAGGAUCUUUCUCGAGGAUGGUCAUCAUAUUGGAAUUUCUCAGUCCUAUGCAAAAAACAUGGGACACUACGGCCAGAGGGUCGGAUGUCUCAGGUAUUCAUUUUCUCAGCAAAAAUAAAUUCCUUGACUGAAUAAAGUCAUCGACUUGUAUGAGUCAGCCGAUUAGAUAUUCAGACAUGUCAUUAAGCGUACCCAUACAGGCUCUUCAUUUAGUGAUGAAGUUAGAAAUGAAUGUGAGCUUGAUUACUUGGUCUUCUGCUGCAGCGUGCUUUGUGCAGAUGAAAAACAAGCCGUGACUGUGAAAAGUCAGUUGCAGCAACUAGCUAAACCAAUGUACAGCAACCCACCUUUACAUGGAGCUCAAAUAGUCUCAACCAUUCUUGGAGACCCAGAGUUAAAG
rnacentral:lncRNA from 1 species